rfam:Otolemur garnettii contig132138, whole genome shotgun sequence.
UGUCUAUUAUUUGCAGUCAGUAACAAAGAUUCAUCCUUGUGUCCAUCGUGCAACCAGGAGAAUCUUUGUCACUCAGUGUGAUUAAUAGCCGGAC